rnacentral:rRNA from 1 species
UACGGGGGGGGCAAGCGUUGUUCGGAAUUACUGGGCGUAAAGGGCUCGUAGGUGGCCAACUAAGUCAUACGUGAAAUCCCUCGGCUUAACCGGGGAACUGCGUCUGAUACUGGAUGGCUUGAGGUUGGGAGAGGGAUGCGGAAUUCCAGGUGUAGCGGUGAAAUGCGUAGAUAUCUGGAGGAACACCGGUGGCGAAGGCGGCAUCCUGGACCAACACUGACGCUGAGUGAGCGAAAGCCGGGGGAGCAAACGGG